rnacentral:rRNA from 1 species
UACGAAGGGGGCGAGCGUUGUUCGGAUUUACUGGGCGUAAAGGGCGCGCAGGCGGCUCAUUUUGUCAGGCGUGAAAGCCCCGGGCUUAACCUGGGAACUGCGCUUGAGACGGGUGGGCUAGAGAUCGGGAGAGGAGAGUGGAAUUCCCAGUGUAGAGGUGAAAUUCGUAGAUAUUCGGAAGAACACCAGUGGCGAAGGCGACUUACUGGACACAUAUUGACGCUGAGGUGCGAAAGCGUGGGGAGCAAACAGG